rnacentral:rRNA from 1 species
GACGAACGCUGGCGGCGUGCCUAAUACAUGCAAGUAGGACGCUGAAGGAGGAGCUUGCUUCUCCGGAUGAGUUGCGAACGGGUGAGUAACGCGUAGGUAACCUGCCUGGUAGCGGGGGAUAACUAUUGGAAACGAUAGCUAAUACCGCAUAAGAGUAGAUGUCGCAUGACAUUUGCUUAAAAGGUGCAACUGCACCACUACCAGAUGGACCUGCGUUGUAUUAGCUAGUUGGUGAGGUAACGGCUCACCAAGGCAACGAUACAUAGCCGACCUGAGAGGGUGAUCGGCCACACUGGGACUGAGACACGGCCCAGACUCCUACGGGAGGCAGCAGUAGGGAAUCUUCGGCAAUGGACGGAAGUCUGACCGAGCAACGCCGCGUGAGUGAAGAAGGUUUUCGGAUCGUAAAGCUCUGUUGUAAGAGAAGAACGAGUGUGAGAGUGGAAAGUUCACACUGUGACGGUAUCUUACCAGAAAGGGACGGCUAACUACGUG